rnacentral:rRNA from 1 species
GAAACUUAAAGGAAUUGGCGGGGGAGCACUACAACGGGUGGAGCCUGCGGUUUAAUUGGACUCAACGCCGGAAAACUCACCUGGGGCGACAGCAAUAUGUAGGUCAGGCUGAAGGUCUUACCUGAAUCGCUGAGAGGAGGUGCAUGGCCGUCGUCAGUUCGUACUGUGAAGCAUCCUGUUAAGUCAGGCAACGAGCGAGACCCGUGCCCACUGUUGCCAGCAUAUCCUUCGGGAUGAUGGGUACUCUGUGGGGACCGCUGGUGCUAAACCAGAGGAAGGUGCGGGCUACGGUAGGUCAGUAUGCCCCGAAUCUCCAGGGCUACACGCGGGCUACAAUGACCGGGACAAUGGGCUCCUACCCCGAAAGGGGUUGGUAAUCUCAUAAACCCGGCCUUAGUUCGAAUUGAGGGCUGCAACUCGCCCUCAUGAAGCUGGAAUCCGUAGUAAUCGCGUUUCAAUAUAGCGCGGUGAAUACGUCCCUGCUCCUUGCACACACCGCCCGUCAAACCACCCGAGUGAGGUAUAGGUGAGGGCACGGACCUAGUGCCGUGUUCGAACCUAAAUUUCGCAAGGGGGGUUAAGUCGUAACAA